rnacentral:rRNA from 1 species
UACGUAGGUGGCAAGCGUUGUCCGGAUUUAUUGGGCGUAAAGUGCGCGCAGGCGGUCCUUUAAGUCUGAUGUGAAAUCUUGCGGCUCAACCGCAAGCGGUCAUUGGAAACUGGGGGACUUGAGUACAGAAGAGGAAAGUGGAAUUCCACGUGUAGCGGUGAAAUGCGUAGAGAUGUGGAGGAACACCAGUGGCGAAGGCGACUUUCUGGUCUGUAACUGACGCUGAGGCGCGAAAGCGUGGGGAGCAAACAGG